UUCUCUCUUUCGAUUCUUUCCUGGGUAAUCCGUGUUUUGAACGCAACAGCUGAGAAAGUACAACAAAAAGAGUUGGGCUGGCUUGUGCAUGGCUCCACAGUGACUUCAUUUAUCUGGCCAGGUCUGAGUGAAUCGAACAGAGCAAAAUGUGCCUCUAACUGCCUGGGCUUCUUGUUCAGGCCCCUAGCUCAUUUGAACAGCUAAUCUCUCUCUGAGGGCUUCUGCUGCUUGUGGCCCUAGACUGCCAUAUCCGGGCGCAUCUCCUUGGGAUGCUCUCCCUCUUCUUCCCAGGGCUAUCUUCACAGAGCUGCUCACGUAUUCCUUAACGAUAGUCUGUGGCAGAAACUUGAUUAUGCUGAAUUCAUACAUUUCGAUGGAUUUCAUCAGCCUAAUUAAUGCCUCCGUGUGGUCCUGGGGUCUGAAUGAACCCUUUACUACGUUUGAGGUUAAAGGCAGUGUUGGAAUGUAGGUUUUCCUUUCUUCGAUACUUAGGAGGUACUUUGGGAUUCCUUCCCCUCGGCAAGG
rnacentral:lncRNA from 1 species